AAUUUCUUCAGCUUAAAAUGGAAGAUUGCAGAGAAGAUGCCACGAGACAGCCAAGGAUAUCGGGAUGCUGCAACACUGCAACAACAAUUUUCCAGGAAUUGAAAACAUGCAUGUCCAAAGUGCGUGUUGAUGGAGUGAAGAGAAUUGAUUAUAAGCCGCAGCUUGCCGCUUUUACACUGACCAUUACAACCACCACUGGUUCUACCAUCAGUGUUGACUUAGUACCACAAAUUGCAGUUAAAAGUUGGGGUUCCAUAUCUGGUUCCUUACAUCAGCUGC